GCUAAUUUUGUGGAGUCCUGGUUUAAGUCUUCUUGUUUGGAUAAGGUACUCAUUCAUUUUGAUCUGAUCAUGUUUGUGCAUGUUUAUGCUUAUUUGGUUGCCUCUCCAAGAAAUCGUGUUUAUCUGAUGGCUUUGCUGGAAAACAGUGUAGGAAAGCCAAAAGACCGAGGGUCGACAAUGAGGAAAACAGGGCAUAUCACCUAAUUAACAGACCCAUAUCAAAAAUCAACAGAAAUCAAUAAGCAAGAAUUGACCCAUCAAUACCCGUAUAAUCCAAAUACAUUAAAAACAGUUCACAUCAAGGUUGAAUAAACUUCAACCACAGCGAAACAUCACAGAAAAAUUAGAAGGAAAAAGAAAUCGGAAUCUAUUACAUACACAUACGUGAGAGAUUCUUAGAGAAGCUAGGGCUUGCAGACGCGGAAGAAAGGCUAGGGCUUGCAGACGCGGAAGAAAGGCUAGGGCUUGCAGACGCGGAAGGAAGGAAGGCUCUGCUUCAAUCGCUUCUAUCAAUUCACGAAUUUGGGGAGAAUCUCUCGACUAGGGCUUAUUAUUUGGGAGAAUCUCUUCUCCCCAAAUUCCCGAUUCAGGCAAACUGAGAGAGAAGAUAGAAGCUUAGGUUUCCGAUUUGGAGAGGAGAGAAAGGCGAAUUGGAGCGAGAAGAGAGAGUGAGUUAAGAAUUUCAGAGUUCACGAUUUGGGUUUUUUUCAAAAGAGCCAGGAGAGAGAGCGGAGGAAGGCUUGGCUUUUAAAAAUUAUGUCAUUUAAGGUUUAUGUUCCUUAAGAAUUCUGUUUCUGUUCUGAUAUACAUAUAAUUAACAGUGUAAUAUGAUAAUAAAAUUAUGACCACAAACUUGAGCAUAUCUUGUUAUUUUAACCUAAAUUCACUAA
rnacentral:lncRNA from 1 species